AUGGCGGCUACUUCAGCCACAAAUCAACCAGUGGACGAUUCUCUCAGGUUGUGUGGAUUUAAAUAAAGGCUUCUGGACGCCACCGACAUGUUUCUGCAGAUGAGUGUCUGACAUGGUCUCAUCAGACUAACGGAGCACAGUCACCACAGAAAUGAAGCCAAAAUAUCGCCGGAUACCAACUCUGCCAUCUUGCAGCAAAGAUGUGAUUUCGGAGCCAGAGUCUGCACAACGGCGAUCGGGGGAUGCAGCCGUGGUGUCAAGGACAUGCCAACAACAUGUGGUCGACCAAUCAGGAAAAUGAAGCCAAACUAUCCCCUGAUUUGAAGGCUAACGUCCUGCACUGAUGACGGGAUUUGGAGCCAGAGUCUGGUCAGUAGCGACCAGGGGAUGGAGCCGAGGUAUCGAGGUCCUGCGGAUACACACACUUGAGCAAUCAUGAGUCAGUCGCACUUUAUUCUAG